rnacentral:misc_RNA from 1 species
GAAAUGCGAUAAGUAAUGUGAAUUGCAGAAUUCAGUGAAUCAUCGAAUCUUUGAACGCACAUUGCGCCCGCCAGCACUCUGGCGGGCAUGCCUGUUCGAGCGUCAUUUCAACCCUCAGAACCCCUUGCGGGAUCUGGCGUUGGGGAUUGGCAUCCAGCCAGCCCCGAAAUCUAGUGGCGGUCCCUCCGCGACCUCCCCUGUGCAGUAGCGAUACCUCGCAGCGGGACAGCGGUCUGACCACGCCGUAAAACCCCCAACUUCGCAAGGUUGACCUCGAAUCAGGUAGGAAUACCCGCUGAACUUAAGA